UUAGGAAAGUUAGAAGCUUUCUUUAUGGGAAUUUCUUU
rnacentral:tRNA from 1 species